AACAGGAUUAGAUACCCUGGUAGUCCACGCUGUAAACGAUGUCGAUUUGGAGGUUGUGCCCUUGAGGCGUGGCUUCCGGAGCUAACGCGUUAAAUCGACCGCCUGGGGAGUACGGCCGCAAGGUUAAAACUCAAAUGAAUUGACGGGGGCCCGCACAAGCGGUGGAGCAUGUGGUUUAAUUCGAUGCAACGCGAAGAACCUUACCUACUCUUGACGUCCAGAGAACUUUCCAGAGAUGGAUUGGUGCCUUCGGGAACUCUGAGACAGGUGCUGCAUGGCUGUCGUCAGCUCGUGUUGUGAAAUGUUGGGUUAAGUCCCGCAACGAGCGCAACCCUUAUCCUUUGUUGCCAGCGGUUCGGCCGGGAACUCAAAGGAGACUGCCAGUGAUAAACUGGAGGAAGGUGGGGAUGACGUCAAGUCAUCAUGGCCCUUACGAGUAGGGCUACACACGUGCUACAGUGGCAUAUACAAAGAGAAGCGACCUCGCGAGAGCAAGCGGACCUCAUAAAGUAUGUCGUAGUCCGGAUUGGAGUCUGCAACUCGACUCCAUGAAGUCGGAAUCGCUAGUAAUCGUAGAUCAGAAUGCUACGGUGAAUACGUUCCCGGGCCUUGUACACACCGCCCGUCACACCAUGGGAGUGGGUUGCAAAAGAAGUAGGUAGCUUAACCUUCGGGAGGGCGCUUACCACUUUGUGAUUCAUGACUGGGGUGAAGUCGUAACAAGGUAACCGUAGGGGAACCUGCGGCUGGAUCACCUCCUU
rnacentral:rRNA from 1 species